rnacentral:lncRNA from 1 species
AGAAAGAGGUCCCAAAUCUUCUGAAACUUAAAGGGUUUAUCUCUUAGCGCUGUGGACUGGAGUAGGCUUUGUUACGUAAACCAGUUACAUCAAAAGUAAUUUAAAAGUAAUUAAAGAGUGGUCUGAUAACAUUGCCUAAAAUAUGUAACAUUCUGAAUAAAAAUUGUCUGUCACAAGUAAAAUGUGUUAAGACUUUUAUUUAAAAAAGUAAACAUUCCAAUUUCAGAAGGAGAUUUAGAGCGUCUUCAGGGAAGUAUGAAUAUAGCGAAUGUUUCAUCAAACAGUUUCGUUCAGUUUAAUAGCUUUAAAGGCUAUACAUUUUCUCAUUCAACUGAAAUAUGCAUCUCCUCUACUGACCUUUACACAACAGAGCGCCCCCUGGCGAGUGAGAUCUGCCCUGCCAUCAUCUUUCGUGGUCAUUUUUCAUAAACUAUAUAUAGUGCAUCUUGUAGGUUGUGGUUGGUAGUCUUCCUGAACACAGACACACACUUGGGUCUGACAUCAAGCAUUUGCCAUGUAUGUACAUUAAACAUCAGCAUUAGCAACCAAUAGCAUCCAGUGUGGUUUCAGCUUUCAAACUUCCUCUAAAUUGUUCUUACAUCCAGUCUUAAUAAACUCUAAACUAAACAGAGUAAAAGUGCAUUAAUGUGUCAUCUGUAUAACAAAAAAUGUCUCUACGAUGCUUGAUGUUGGUCGUCAUCUGCCUUGUGUUCAUCACCACAGAAGCUGUUUCAGAUUUAUGGGGAUUUGUCAUUUGGAUUGCCAUUGUUUCCAUCAGCAUGGUUUUUAUCAUCCUUUUCCUGUUUAUACCACCUUGUCACAGUAAGACUACUGAUGUAUUUUAUCUUUUAAAACAUUUAAAAUUUAUUUCUUUCAUCUGUGCUUACCCUUUGGUUAAAACUCAAACAUCUGAGUCACAUCAGAAGAAAGGGAAAGAGAAUUUUGACUUUUUUUUUCUUUUUUUUUUUAGAAUAACACACUCAGGAAAUAUUUACAAUAAAACUUGGAAUCUGUAUUAAUAAAAUAAAUAGGGUCAAUUAUGAUUAAAUGUUUACUGUAAAUGACUGUCACUGUUUUUCUCAAAGAUUAUUGUGCUGCUUGCAACGGGAGACACAAGACUUCCAGAGUAAGUUUAUUUUCUUAAUUCCUUGUGAAAGUAUUAAUGUGCAAUAUCACAGACAAAUCAGAUUUUAGUCUAUGAUCAACUUCAGCUAUGUACAUUAAAUUAUUAGCAUUUUUUCUGUUGUUGUCUCCCUCAGAAAUGACAGUCGAUUCUAAAUCCCAGCUUUACUGAAGCAACUGGAGCUCUUAACUAUCUGUGCCUUCAUAACUUUGACUGUUGCUUUUUGACCUCUGUGUCUGCUGGACCAUGCUUUUUAUUUUCAAAGAGGGACAAGAUGAGAAUCUCUUCUGCUUAAUUUUUUUUUCUUUUGGCCAAGACUGGUGUGGAGAGUAGAGAAGUACUGAGAAGAGGAGAGAGACUGAAAUACAUCUACCAUCUGCAGCAAGAUCCAACUAUUGUGAACUUUGUGGAUUUAAGUUAUGUGACUGUGGUUGGUUUUGCUGUGUGCCACUCAAAACUGAAAUGUGAGCUAGAUAGGAAGAUCAUAGACAAUUAUCUUUAUGUAGGGAGGUGGGUGGCAGUUUUUUCUGGUUUUGGAUUGAGGGUAUAUUUACAGACAAUGAUUAAUGGUGUGUUUUUUGCAAGCUAAUUCUUGUUCAGAACAAUCACUUUAGCAAAGUUUGUACUCUUUUCUGGUCAUUUUGCUGAAUAAUGAUCAUUUGUUCAAUAAAUCUAUUGUCAUUUAAAUAUGUUCAUUUAAAAUAUAUAAAAAUAUAUAAUGUAAUUUUAUCCAUUUUCAUUUGCUCCAUUAAUCUAUAACAUAAAAUUAAAUCAAUUAGCACGUAAUUAACUCGCUGUCGUGAUCGUGUCAACGAUUGGUCAAAGCUCCAGCUAAAUUGUGAAACAUAGAUGUACAGUAGGAAAGUGUGUUUUUGCAUCAUUUCAUGUUUAAGAGAAAAAUCAAAUGCACCUUUGCCCCAGUGAUCCCGUUGUACCGUGGUACUGUCACAACACUUUUCACAAGGCUAGUGUAGUUGUUUUAUUUUAUUUUGUUUGUCUGUGGACUGGAACUUACACUUUUGUUUUUUUUGUUUUUUCACAUAACAGGUCCCUAAACCUGUAAUAUAAAAUAUAACUUAAUUCCCACCAUAUUUCUGAUAUCAUUUAUCAAACUAAUCUGACUAAUUUGAUCAUUAAAUCUAAAACUGCGACUGCAGCUUGUGUACAGCGCAUUAGCAUUCGUUAACCAGUUAGCUUGUCAGUCGCUGUCCAUUCAAAUUUCUAUUUGCAUCUAUUACUGUUUUCUUUUUUUCUCACUCCGUUUCUUUUCUCUCUCGCUCCGUUUUUCACGAGUUUAUCAAACAACUAUGGAAAGUCAGAAUCA